rnacentral:rRNA from 1 species
CCCGACUGCUAUCGAAAUGGGACUAAGCCAUGUUAGUCGAACGUCUUUUAACUAUGUGAAGGGCGUGGCGUACGGCUCAGUAACACGUUGUCAACCUACCCUGAAGACGUGGAUAACCCCGGGAAACUGGGAUUAAACCACGAUAGAUCAAGAUUUCUGGAAUGGAUCUUGAUUCAAAGGAAGGAUGAGCAUGUUCAUCUAUUUGCCUCAGGAUGGGACUGCGACCGAUCAGGUAGUUGGUGGAGUAAUAGCCCACCAAGCCAGUAACCGGUACGGGCUUUGAGAGAAGGAGCCCGGAGAUGGACACUGAGAAAAGAGUCCAGGUCCUACGGGGCGCAGCAGGCGCGAAACCUUCGCAAUGCACGAAAGUGCGACGAGGUUAUUUCGAGUGCUAUCCGCUGAGGAUAGCUUUUGUCAGGUGUAAAUAGCCUGGAGAAUAAGGGGAGGGCAAGUCUGGUGUCAGCCGCCGCGGUAAUACCAGCUCCCCGAGUGGUCGGGACGAUUAUUGGGCCUAAAGCAUCCGUAGCCUGCUUUGCAGGUCUUCUGUUAAAUUCAACGGCUUAACCGUUGAGCUGCAGGAGAUACCACAAGGCUAGGAGGCGGGAGAGGUAGACGGUACUCCAUGGGUAGGGGUAAAAUCCUCUGAUCCAUGGAAGACCACCAGUGGCGAAGGCGGUCUACCAGAACGCGCUCGACGGUGAGGGAUGAAAGCUGGGGGAGCGAACCGGAUUAGAUACCCGGGUAGUCCCAGCUGUAAACGAUGCUAGCUAGGUGACGGAGUGGUUUCGUACCAUUCCGGUGCCGCAGGGAAGCCGUUAAGCUAGCCGCCUGGGGAGUACGGUCGCAAGACUGAAACUUAAAGGAAUUGGCGGGGGAGCACCACAAGGGGUGAAGCCUGCGGUUC